UGGGUAACCUGCCUCAAAGAGGGGAAUAGCCUCCCGAAAGGGAGAUUAAUACCGCAUAAUAUGUUUAAGUCGCAUGACUUUAACAUCAAAGGAUUUUCUUUUAGAAAUUCCACUUUGAGAUGGACCCGCGGCGCAUUAGCUAGUUGGUGAGGUAACGGCUCACCAAGGCAACGAUGCGUAGCCGACCUGAGAGGGUGAUCGGCCACAUUGGGACUGAGACACGGCCCAGACUCCGUAGGNGG
rnacentral:rRNA from 1 species